rnacentral:rRNA from 1 species
AUUGAACGCUGGCGGCAUGCCUUACACAUGCAAGUCGAACGGCAGCACGGGUGCUUGCACCUGGUGGCGAGUGGCGAACGGGUGAGUAAUACAUCGGAACAUGUCCUGUAGUGGGGGAUAGCCCGGCGAAAGCCGGAUUAAUACCGCAUACGAUCUACGGAUGAAAGCGGGGGACCUUCGGGCCUCGCGCUAUAGGGUUGGCCGAUGGCUGAUUAGCUAGUUGGUGGGGUAAAGGCCUACCAAGGCGACGAUCAGUAGCUGGUCUGAGAGGACGACCAGCCACACUGGGACUGAGACACGGCCCAGACUCCUACGGGAGGCAGCAGUGGGGAAUUUUGGACAAUGGGCGAAAGCCUGAUCCAGCAAUGCCGCGUGUGUGAAGAAGGCCUUCGGGUUGUAAAGCACUUUUGUCCGGAAAGAAAUCCUUGGCCCUAAUACGGUCGGGGGAUGACGGUACCGGAAGAAUAAGCUCCGGCUAACUACGUG